UAAUAAGUGUUGACGUGCAUCAGAAAUCGAUUGAGUGGAACCGAGCUGGUGGCUGCAGCGAAGGCUGGAGCAGGAGGGGGGCUGGGGGGGGAGAAGGAAGGAUGG